GUGCUCAUUUCAGCAGCACAUAUAGUAAAAUUGGAACAAUACAGAGAUCAGCAUGGACCCUGUUCGACCUUAAAAAAUAAAAUAAAGGGGCUGGACUGAUAGCA
rnacentral:snRNA from 1 species